rnacentral:rRNA from 1 species
UGAGUAACCUGCCCCAGACUCUGGGAUAAGCACUGGAAACGGUGUCUAAUACCGGAUAUGAGCUUCAGCCGCAUGGCUAGGAGUCGGAAAGAAUUUCGGUUUGGGAUGGACUCGCGGCCUAUCAGCUUGUUGGUGAGGUAAUGGCUCACCAAGGCGACGACGGGUAGCCGGCCUGAGAGGGUGACCGGCCACACUGGGACUGAGACACGGCCCAGACUCCUACGGGAGNAG